rnacentral:rRNA from 1 species
UCCAGACUCCUACGGGAGGCAGCAGUGGGGGAUAUUGCACAAUGGGGGGAACCCUGAUGCAGCGACGCCGCGUGGGUGAAGGAGCGUUUCGGCGCGUAAAGCCCUAUCGGCAGGGAAGAAGGAGGACGGUACCUGACUAAGAAGCCCCGGCUAGCUACGUGCCAGCAGCCGCGGUAAUACGUAGGGGGCAAGCGUUAUCCGGAUUUACUGGGUGUAAAGGGGGCGCAGACGGCAGCGCAAGCCAGGAGUGAAAGCCCGGGGCCCAACCCCGGGACUGCUCUUGGAACUGCGCGGCUGGAGUGCAGGAGGGGCAGGCGGAAUUCCUGGUGUAGCGGUGAAAUGCGUAGAUAUCAGGAGGAACACCGGUGGCGAAGGCGGCCUGCUGGACUGCGACUGACGUUGAGGCCCGAAAGCGUGGGGAGCAAACAGGAUUAGAUACCCUAGUA